rnacentral:rRNA from 1 species
CCUACGGGUGGCAGCAGUGAGGAAUAUUGGUCAAUGGACGAGAGUCUGAACCAGCCAAGUAGCGUGAAGGAUGACUGCCCUAUGGGUUGUAAACUUCUUUUAUAAAGGAAUAAAAUGAGGCACGUGUGCUUUUUUGCAUGUACUUUAUGAAUAAGGAUCGGCUAACUCCGUGCCAGCAGCCGCGGUAAUACGGAGGAUCCGAGCGUUAUCCGGAUUUAUUGGGUUUAAAGGGAGCGUAGAUGGGUUGUUAAGUCAGUUGUGAAAGUUUGCGGCUCAACCGUAAAAUUGCAGUUGAUACCGGCAGUCUUGAGUACAGUAGAGGUAGGCGGAAUUCGUGGUGUAGCGGUGAAAUGCUUAGAUAUCACGAAGAACCCCGAUUGCGAAGGCAGCUUGCUAAACUGUGACUGACAUUGAUGCUCGAAAGUGUGGGUAUCAAACAGGAUUAGAUACCCGAGUAGUC